rnacentral:lncRNA from 1 species
CGGCUGUCCAGAUGUGGUCCACAGGUCAUACUUUGCCAACCUGUGGUCUAAAAAAUGGUAUUUGUAUGGGCUUAAACCAUCACGAAAACAUUCUGAAAUCUUAAAAACAAAGCAAAACCUAUAACCCAUUUAUGUUCCUUGUAAUCUAAAUGCAUUCAUCUUUCCAUGCCCAGAUGAACUGAUUUCUUGAGGCUUUCUCUCUCUCUCUCUCUGUUUUUUUUUACAGGUGACAGCUUAGUGCAUCGCAUAAACCUGAAUUUGCCAUUUUCCCAACCUGAAAGCAAGGGUGGCCAGGCCACCCAGGGCAAUGGUGAAUGGUGGGUGAGAGGCAGAGCCCCUCUCCAAUAAACAACCUGGACUGUUUAUUGGGUUUUUGACCAACAAGACCUCAGGGAAAUUCCGGGAGCCUGAGGUUGGCAGAGACACAUAGAGGGGUGUGCCCUGUUGUCACUGACCAAUGGCAGAUGUGCCCUUACUCUGAACGCCAUCAAGAACACCUCUGUAAUAAUUUUCCUGUCCUCAUUAAGUUUGAGUUUGCAAGGAGACUCUUGUAAGCCAAGUUAAAUACUCUGAGGCUUUAUGUCUGAGAUUCAGGUAGCUGCCACCCUGAGAGGGGAAAUGCCUGGCAUUAGAGCUUCUCCCACAGAACAAGGUGGGGGUGUGGAUUUUCUUCCAGAGAAAUCACCAUAACUCAGCCAAUAUUGUAAUUAAAAUAAUAUAGUCUAUAAAGAAAACGGAUAAAGCAACUUGAACACGCUUCCCAGCACACUGAGCUGCCACCACGAAGCUUCAGUUUCUCUGCCACCUGACACCAUGGUGAUCGCUCCCCACUUCCAGUGGAAAUGUGUCAAGGAAGCUGCUAAUGGCCAUGAAAUUCUUCAUGCUCUGGGAUUUUUGUUUUCCUGAAACCUUUGACACAGAGCUUUCAUUGAGAAGAGGAAAUGAAGAAAGAAGCAUGGUUCCAAGUACCAUGAAUAGCCCCACCCGAGGGGAGCAGUUUGUGUAUGCAGAAAGCGCCCUGGGGGACUUGUUUUGCAGCCAAAAGAAUCAAGACAUCUUCAAGAUAACGUGACGUAGCUGAAAGUGUUGGGAUGGCAGUAAGCAGAAAGACGUUUGAGAACAGUUUUGUUUCUUCUAUCUUCUGCAAAUUAGGUACAAUGAUAAUACAUGCCUGGGAGGUGGUAGUGUCGACUGAGCAAGGGGGUAUGUGGAGAGCACCCAGCACAUUGUAGGUUCUCAGCAAUGUUAAU